AGAACAACUUGAAUUUCUGUUUACACAGCCGGAGGCCUGGAAAGGAUACUGAAGUGAGAAGAGGAAGCUGCUUGCGGAAGAAGCAAGAUCAGUUGCUUCCCAGGGCAUAGGCACUAACUGUGACAACCUGGGCCUCCGUGUAGGGCCACAGCAACUGAUAGCUCUGAAGAAUGUGCAGGAGGUAUACGUCUCCUCCCUAUGAGGGUGCGCCCUGAUGAUAAAUGCCACGUACUCUGUUCCCAGGAAUCACAGUGGAUCAUGCACAUCACCAUAUUUUACGCAUGAGGAAACUGAGAGCUCAGGGAGAGACAAGGGAAACUGCAACCCAAGUCUAUGGUUGUUUGGAUCAUGGAUAUGUCUCCGGAUUAAAUAAAACUUCCAAAUGAUCGAUGCCCUAUCUGCUUUAUUAUUUCUGGGAUCCUGAGUACUUUUAUGCUUGGAAAUACAUCCUGCUGUCAAGCAGGCCACACCCCAAUCUAAACCAGCGGCCAGCAAACUGAGGAGGAAUGCUCCUGUAGAAUCAACAGUCUGAAAACCCUCACCUGAGACUGAGACUAAACAUGUGUUUGGCAAGAACAUCACCAAGAGAUGUAAAUGCUGGA